UACGGAGGGUGCAAGCGUUAUCCGGAUUCACUGGGUUUAAAGGGUGCGUAGGCGGCAGGUAAGUCCGUGGUGAAAUCUCUGAGCUUAACUCAGAAACUGCCAUGGAUACUAUUUGUCUUGAAUAUUGUGGAGGUAAGCGGAAUAUGUCAUGUAGCGGUGAAAUGCUUAGAUAUGACAUAGAACACCAAUUGCGAAGGCAGCUUACUACACAGUUAUUGACGCUGAGGCACGAAAGCGUGGGGAGUCAAACAGG
rnacentral:rRNA from 1 species